AUUUAACGCUGGCGGCAGGCUUAACACAUGCAAGUCGAACGAGUGGCGGACGGGUGAGUCAUGCCUGGGAAACUGACCGAUGGAGGGGGAUAACUACUGGAAACUGUAGCUAAUACCGCAUACCAUCGGAUGUGCCCAUAUGGGAUUAGGUAGUUGGUGGGGUAAAGGCUCACCAAGGCGACGAUCCCUAGCUGGUCUGAGAGGAUGACCAGCCACACUGGAACUGAGACACGGUCCAGACUCCUACGGGAGGCAGCAGUGGGGAAUAUUGCACAAUGGGCGCAAGCCUGAUGCAGCCAUGCCGCGUGUAUGAAGAAGGCCUUCGGGUUGUAAAGUACUUUCAGCGAGGAGGCGUUACUCGCAGAAGAAGCACCGGCUAACUCCGUGCCAGCAGCCGCGGUAAUUC
rnacentral:rRNA from 1 species